rnacentral:rRNA from 1 species
GAUGAACGCUGGCGGCGUGCUUAACACAUGCAAGUCGAACGAUGAAGCCCAGCUUGCUGGGUGGAUUAGUGGCGAACGGGUGAGUAACACGUGAGUAACCUGCCCUUAACUCUGGGAUAAGCCUGGGAAACUGGGUCUAAUACCGGAUAGGAGCGUCCACCGCAUGGUGGGUGUUGGAAAGAUUUAUCGGUUUUGGAUGGACUCGCGGCCUAUCAGCUUGUUGGUGAGGUAAUGGCUCACCAAGGCGACGACGGGUAGCCGGCCUGAGAGGGUGACCGGCCACACUGGGACGGAGACACGGCCCAGCCUCCUAGGGGGGGAAGCGGUGGGAAAUAUGGAACAAUGGGCGAAAGCCUGUUGCAGCGACGCCGCGGGGGGAAUGACGGCCUUCGGGUUGUAACCCUCUUUCAGAAGGAAAGAAGCGAAAGUGACGGUACCUGAAGAAGAAGCACCGGCUACUACGUG